GUGUCAGCCGCCGCGGUAAUACGUAGGGGGCUAGCGUUGUCCGGAAUCAUUGGGCGUAAAGCGCGUGUAGGCGGCCCGAUAAGUCCGCUGUGAAAGUCCAGGGCUCAACCCUGGGAUGCCGGUGGAUACUGUCGGGCUCGAGUCCGGAAGAGGCGAGUGGAAUUCCUGGUGUAGCGGUGAAAUGCGCAGAUAUCAGGAGGAACACCAAUGGCGAAGGCAGCUCGCUGGGACGUGACUGACGCUGAGACGCGAAAGCGUGGGGAGCAAACAGGAUUAGAUACCCCCGUAGUCC
rnacentral:rRNA from 1 species